rnacentral:rRNA from 1 species
UACGUAGGGCGCAAACGUUGUCCGGAAUUAUUGGGCGUAAAGAGCUCGUAGGUGGCUUGUCACGUCGGGUGUGAAAGCUUGGGGCUUAACUCCAGGUCUGCAUUCGAUACGGGCUGGCUAGAGGUAGGUAGGGGAGAACGGAAUUCCUCAGUGUAGCGGUGAAAUGCGCAGAUAUCAGGAGGAACACCGGUGGCGAAGGCGGUUCUCUGGGCCUUACCUGACGCUGAGGAGCGAAAGCGUGGGGAGCGAACGG